UAAGGAGGAGGCAAGCGUUAUAAGGAAUUAUUGGGCGUAAAGCGUCCGCAGGUGGCCCCUCAAGUCUGCCGUCAAAGGCCGCAGCUCAACUGCGGAAAGGCGGUGGAAACUGAUGGGCUAGAGUCCAGUAGGGGUAGCGUGAAUUUCCAGUGUAGCGGUGAAAUGCGUAGAGUUUGGGAAGAACAUCGGUGGCGCAAGCGCGGUACUGGGCUGGAACUGACACUCAGGGACGAAAGCUAGGGGAGCGAAAGGG
rnacentral:rRNA from 1 species